rnacentral:rRNA from 1 species
CGAGGACGAACGCUGGCGGCGUGCUUAACACAUGCAAGUCGAACGAUGAAGCCGAGCUUGCUCGGUGGAUUAGUGGCGAACGGGUGAGUAACACGUGAGCAACCUGCCCCCUAACUCUGGGAUAACGCUUCGAAAGGAGUGCUAAUACCGGAUAUGAGCCUGGAAGACAUCUUCUGGGUGGAAAGUUUUCGGUUAGGGAUGGGCUCGCGGCCUAUCAGCUAGUUGGUGAGGUAAUGGCUCACCAAGGCGACGACGGGUAGCCGGCCUGAGAGGGUGACCGGCCACACUGGAACUGAGACACGGCCCAGACUCCUACGGGAGGCAGCAGUGGGGAAUCUUAGACAAUGGGCGCAAGCCUGAUCCAGCAAUGCCGCGUGAGUGAUGAAGGCCUUAGGGUUGUAAAGCUCUUUUACCCGAGAUGAUAAUGACAGUAUCGGGAGAAUAAGCUCCGGCUAACUCCGUG